AAAUUAGAGCACCUCCGAAGUUACCCUAGCUUAUGGUAGAGACCAGCUUACUUCAUGGAAACUUCACUUUUGCUGUAAGGUCUGCUUUCCAUCCUAGUCCACUUCUACUGAACACAGCCAGGAAGCUGAACAAAGAAUGAAUAACCUAGAACAACUUUGCAUCUGAAAUGGAAGAGAAGAGAAAUCUGGUCCAGCUCCCAUUCAAGUUGCACAUGGAGACUCCUGUUGACAUCAGUGGAAUUUCUAGCAGGUUCCUAUGAAGAGGAGCUUCUCUCCACAUGCAUGCUCCCAGUGUACUUCCCAGGAGAGCAGGCAUGGAAGAGGAACCUACCUGCCCAUCUGCUGCUGCCACCAUUGACACGACUGCUGCUGUCUGGGCUAACUGCUGAUUAAAAGGACAUGAAAAUAGAAACAGAGACAAGGUUUUGGGAAUGCUCAGGCUAACUUCUGGAGCAAGACUGCUCAGAUCUGGGUGGUCAGAUCUCAUUUACCUAAAUCAGAAUCAUAUUUUGUGCAUUAGUUCAAUAGAUUUUAUUUGGGCCUGUCUCAGCUUUUUGGUUUGGUUUG